GACGAACGCUGGCGGCGUGCCUAAUACAUGCAAGUCGAACGAACCGCGACUAGGUGCUUGCACUUGGUCAAGGUGAGUGGCGAACGGGUGAGUAACACGUGGGUAACCUACCUCAUAGUGGGGGAUAACAGUCGGAAACGACUGCUAAUACCGCAUAGGACAUGGGAUCACAUGAUUCUGUGAGGAAAGGUGGCGCAAGCUAUCGCUAAGAGAUGGACCCGCGGUGCAUUAGCUAGUUGGUAGGGUAACGGCCUACCAAGGCGAUGAUGCAUAGCCGACCUGAGAGGGUGAUCGGCCACAUUGGGACUGAGACACGGCCCAAACUCCACGGGAGGCAGCAGUAGGGAAUCUUCCGCAAUGGACGCAAGUCUGACGGAGCAACGCCGCGUGAGUGAAGAAGGUCUUCGGAUCGUAAAGCUCUGUUGUUAGAGAAGAACAGCGCAUAGAGUAACUGUUAUGCGUGUGACGGUAUCUAACCAGAAAGCCACGGCUAACUACGUG
rnacentral:rRNA from 1 species